rnacentral:rRNA from 1 species
CCUACGGGUGGCAGCAGUGAGGAAUAUUGGUCAAUGGCCGUAAGGCUGAACCAGCCAAGUAGCGUGAGGGAAGACUGCCCUAUGGGUUGUAAACCUCUUUUAUGCGGGGAUAAAGGUGUCCACGUGUGGAUGUUUGCAGGUACCGCAUGAAUAAGGACCGGCUAAUUCCGUGCCAGCCGCCGCGGUAAUACGGAAGGUCCGGGCGUUAUCCGGAUUUAUUGGGUUUAAAGGGAGCGUAGGCCGGUCUUUAAGCGUGCCGUGAAAUUUUGUGGCUCCACCCUGAGAGUGUGGCGCGAACUGGAGACCGUGAGUGCGCGGAAGGCAGGCGGAAUGCGUGGUGUAGCGGUGAAAUGCUUAGAUAUCACGAAGAACCCCGAUUGCGAAGGCAGCCUGCCGCAGCGUUACUGACGCUGAAGCGCGAAAGCGCGGGUAUCGAACAGGAUUAGAUACCCCAGUAGUC